rnacentral:rRNA from 1 species
UACGUAGGGUGCAAGCGUUGUCCGGAUUUAUUGGGCGUAAAGAGCUCGUAGGCGGUCUGUCGCGUCGGAUGUGAAAACCCAGGGCUCAACCCUGGGCCUGCAUUCGAUACGGGCAGACUAGAGUGUGGCAGGGGAGACUGGAAUUCCUGGUGUAGCGGUGAAAUGCGCAGAUAUCAGGAGGAACACCGGUGGCGAAGGCGGGUCACUGGCCCGGUACUGACGCUGAGGUGCGAAAGCGUGGGGAGCAAACAGG